rnacentral:lncRNA from 1 species
GUACAGAGUCAAUGUGGAGGCUAUAUACAGGGGUGUACCGGUACAGAGUCAAUGUGGAGGCUAUAUACAGGGGGUACCGGUACAGAGUCAAUGUGGAGGCUAAAUACAGGGGGUACCGGUACAGAGUCAAUGUGGAGGCUAUAUACAGGGGGUACCGGUAGAGAGUCAAUGUGGAGGCUAUAUACAGGGGGUGCCGGUACAGAGUCAAUGUGGAGGCUAUAUACAGGGGGUACCAGUACAGAGUCAAUGUGGAGACUAUAUACAGGGGGUACCGGUACAGAGUCAAUGUGGAGGCUAUAUACAGUGGGUACC